UACGAAGGGGGCUAGCGUUGUUCGGAUUUACUGGGCGUAAAGCGCACGUAGGCGGGUCGUUAAGUCAGGGGUGAAAUCCCGGAGCUCAACUCCGGAACUGCCUUUGAUACUGGCGACCUUGAGGCUGGAAGAGGUUAGUGGAAUUCCCAGUGUAGAGGUGAAAUUCGUAGAUAUUCGGAGGAACACCAGUGGCGAAGGCGGCUCACUGGUCCGGUACUGACGCUCAUGUGCGAAAGCGUGGGGAGCAAACAGG
rnacentral:rRNA from 1 species